UCAUAUGAUUUUGAAGUGGUGUUACUAUUAAAACUUUUAUAGGAUGUGUAAACCUAAAGUUUUCUAUCAAUGAAUUUAGAUGUCUUCCUAACCAACACUAAAUUAAGUCUAAGGUUGAACGUAAAUCAAACCAAAACCACAUUCUAAAAAACAUAAAAUUUUCCUAUAAGUACAAGGCUACAAUCUUACCUAUUUUUGCACAUAAAGCAACAAAUAUGAGUUGAAUGUUGUCGAGUUGUGCUACUCCAAAAUUUUGAUUUGUUUAGUGUGGAGCCUCUUCAAACUGUCGGAUUGGGACCAUCUUCAAAGUGAAUUUUUUUUGGGAUCCAUGAAAAGGAAAGGGAGAGAAGGUGAAGGUGAAGGUGAAAAGGUGACUUUUAAUAAAUUGGAAUAAAAAGUUCAACUUUAUAAAGUGGAAGAAAAAGUUCCAUUAUAUAUUAAAAUAAACGUUAUGAUACUAACGGAAAACGUUUAGAAAAUUGAAUAUAAUGAAUUUUUUUUUCACUAAGCUUAUUUUAGUUACUUACUAAAAUAGUGACUUAUUUUGAUUACUUUUCUAUUUUUGUGGCUUAUUUUGGUUCCCAACUCUUUUCUCAACCCUUUCAGUGAUCCAGCAGUAGGCCCAAUUUCCCUUAAUUCCUUUACCCAAAUCAGUGGCCCAUCCUCUUUUUUGUUUUCUCCCCUUUAACCCAGCCCAAGCAACUCUUAACCCGACCCAAUUUCCUAAAAGAAACCUGAAUUCAGAGCACAACAACAAAUCGAUCGACCCGCCCCGUUCUUCUUCUUCCUCACAGGAAAUCCAGUCCACGCGCGAUGAGAAUUCGAAAAUGCCGCUUCAGCAGAGAAUGGCAAGCUGGAUGCGACCAAAAUGUGUGGCUGAGCUCGUCUUCCUCGCUAGUAUGCUCGCACAGUCUGGGCCAGCCGAAUUUUUGGCAAAAGCAACUGCCAGAUUCGUACUUCACAUUCAGGUGGAUUUGGCAUCAAGAUCGAAUGAAUUACCAGAUUCUAUCAAGGUCGAUACAAAUUUCUGGUUCAGUCACCCGAAGUCGAAGGACGAUUUUGAGAUCGCGUUUGGUGGUGAAAGAUUAUCCUCCUUGCUCGCCUGGUCCUAAAACGCUACCUCGGAGAAGUCUAUUUUGGACAAUUUCUUGCACUACCAAGGGGCCAUAAAAGGUCCUAUACUCCCUUCUUCUUUUGAGUCUGCCUACCAAGCAAGAAAACAAGUUCCGAAAGGUGUGCAGGUCCCGAAGUGAGGAAGAGAAUGGGCCAUAAAUGCCCGAGUUUAUUUUCUUAAAUGUUGUAUAUAGUUGCUUUAGGGGCCUAAGCCCCCUUUCUGUGUUUUAUCCUAUAUUUAUUUUGUAUUAAUUAUUUGAUUAGUCUACGACAUGUACAAAUCAAGUGGGCCAGAAGCCCAAAACAAAUGGGUAAAAAUAUCAAUUCAGGCGGAUAGAUAAUCCGGAUUUGGACCCAACA